rnacentral:rRNA from 1 species
GAUGAACGCUGGCGGCGUGCCUAAUACAUGCAAGUCGAACGAACAGACCAGGAGCUUGCUCCUUUGACGUUAGCGGCGGACGGGUGUGUAACACGUGGAUCACCCACCUUUAGGUCUGGGAUCACUUCGGGAAACCGGCGCUAAUAUCGGAUAAUCUAUUGAACCGCAUGGUUCAAUAGUUAAAUACGGCUUUGCUGUCUCUAAUCGCUGGAUACGAGCCGGAUUAGCUAGUUGGUAAGGUAACGGCUUACCAAGGCAACGAUGCGUAGCCGACGUGAUAGGGUGAUCGGCCACACUGGAACUGAGACACGGUCCAGACUCCUACGGGAGGCAGCAGUGGGGAAUCUUGCGCAAUGGGCGGAAGCAUGACGGAGCAACGGCGCGUGGGUGACGAAGGUCUUCGGAUCGUAAUACUCUGUUAUUAGGUAAGAACAGCUGUGUAAUUAACUAUGGCGGUAUUGACGGUACCGAGUCAGAAAGCACCGGCUAACUACGUG